GCCCUGCUGGCGCAAUGGUAGCGCGCAAGACUUCUAUCUAUUAUGCAAUCCGUGCGAUGAGACGUCAAAAAUCUUAUGCGAGGAUUAGGUGAUCUUGAGGCUGUGGGUUCGACCCCCACGUAGGGCU